rnacentral:rRNA from 1 species
GAUGAACGCUGGCGGCGUGCCUAAUACAUGCAAGUCGAGCGAACAGACGAGGAGCUUGCUCCUCUGACGUUAGCGGCGGACGGGUGAGUAACACGUGGAUAACCUACCUAUAAGACUGGGAUAACUUCGGGAAACCGGAGCUAAUACCGGAUAAUAUAUUGAACCGCAUGGUUCAAUAGUGAAAGACGGCUUUGCUGUCACUAAUAGAUGGAUCCGCGCCGCAUUAGCUAGUUGGUAAGGUAACGGCUUACCAAGGCAACGAUGCGUAGCCGACCUGAGAGGAUGAUCAGCCACACUGGAACUGAGACACGGUCCAGACUCCUACGGGAGGCAGCAGUAGGGAAUCUUCCGCAAAGGGCGAAAGCCUGACGCAGCAACGCCGCGUGAGUGAUGAAGGUCUUCGGAUCGUAAAGCUCUGUUAUUAGGGAAGAACAGAUGUGGAAGUAAAUAUGCACGUCUUGACGGUACCUAAUCAGAAAGCCACGGCUAACUACGUG